rnacentral:rRNA from 1 species
AACGUAGGAGGCGAGCGUUAUCCGGAGUUACUGGGCGUAAAGCGUAUGUAGGUGGCAAGGCACGUCAAAUGUGAAAAGCUCCUGGACUGAAACCAGGACGAGGCGUGUGAUGACGGCCUGGCUAGAGGGUGAUAGGAGGAGCGUAGAAUUCCGGGUGUAGUGGUGAAAUGCGUAGAGAUCCGGAGGAAUACCAGUGGCGCAGGCGGCGCUCUGGGUCACACCUGACAUGAGAUACGAAGGCAUGGGGAGCGAACGGG